CUUGAUGGCAGCCUCUGACUUUCCAUCUUGGCCCUUGUACCUUUGGCCCGGAAGAUUUAACAUCAUUUGGAUGUGAACUGGGUUCUCUACCAGUGAGAGAAAGUCAUAUCUGAGACUCAUGUGGAAUUGGGACCAUCGAUGAAAAUGGAGCAACCUUGGGAGAAGAUUCUUAAAGAAGAGGACUCCAGUCUCUCUCAGGCAGUGCCUUCAAAUGGUGUAGGUGUGGGGCGUGUAUGUACGUCAGCAAAUGAGUUUCAGACCUUUUGAAAGAAUAGCCCUGGUUUGGGAAUGGGGUUACAGAAUUGAACAGUGGCUGUUUGAGAACAAAGGGAUUAUACCUCCCUACCUUCUUGGAUGAUAUUCCAGGAAAGACCUGUUCUCCAAGGAAACACACUCUUGGACAUCAAAUAGACCACUCAGGCACGGGGAAGCUAUGGGUUUGGAGUCAGCUAAAGCAUAACUGUAGUACAUCUGUCACAGAGAAUGCCACACUUGGGAGCACUUCACACUUAGAGCUGGAAAAGACAUGUCUCUCAAGAGGAAGGCUUCCCAAAUUAAAGCAGUGCAUCAGCAUUGUGGGAUCCAUUGAGCAGGUAAAGACAAAGCUGCUUCACAGCCUGCUAGGAAUAAGAGCCCUGAUUAAAGGUCACGCCAGCCUUCAGAUUCCGGUUUCUUCUGCUAUUUUUCCUUUACUAUUUAUCUCCAUGAACUUGUCUGCAAUUAUCUGUCGCCGACCUUCUUUCUCUCCGCCUACCUUCCUUCUUUCUAUUCCUUCCUUCUUUUCUUUCCUUCUCCCACUCUCCCUCCCUUUCUCCCUUGUUUUUUUUUGUUUUUUUUGUUUUUAAGAUAUGCUGUACUCCCAACAUGAUGUUGCUGAAUAGCAAUAUUGUUUUCCUUCUAGUGGAGAUGGCUCUCUGUCAUGCCACCCGCAUGCUCUCCUGGUCCUUCCUGAGCUCCUGGCCACACCUUCACCAGGGCCCAAACCUGUGGCAUUGCUUAGCAUCCUGAUGUAACUAACUGAAUCGACUAGCUGGGAAAUGCUCUUCAUCAUCUGCAAAGUGUUACUACUAAUUAGGUAAUUUUGAGAGUUUCUGGAGCAGUAAUUUAGGAAGAACUCUGAAUUUAAAACAAACAAACAAAACCCAGGAAGGCAAGACGAUGAUUACAUAUGCAGGUAAGCUAUAAGUGGGAAGCAAAAAAGAUAGGCCCAGUAUUACCUCCUAAAUUUUAGAAAUAACUGCCAUGAUGAAAAACUCUAGGAGAAAAAGGCAUGUACUUCUAAGAUGAAUGUCUUUAUGAAAAAUGUUCUUUUCACACAUGUGGAUAGCAUGUGGAUGCAGGAUUAAACCAUAUCUGAGGAUCCCUAAAUUAGAUAUAACCAAGAUCUCCUGGUGGUAAAUGGUCAAGUAUAUGGGAUAAUCCAACAUGGAUAUCAUCUUUAGGGAAGGAUUUGCCUAGAAGGACAGACUAAAAUUGCUUUUGAAUCCAUAAACUGAUGUUCAGUUUCUCCGAAACUCAAACAUAUCCAUGAUUAAUUAGCUUUGGCAGCGCUGUUGUGUGAAAAAGAAUAAAUUCUUCCUGCCAUUAGGGCUCUAUGUGAGUGCUUACAUUCAGAGUACGAGUGAAGUGACUCUCAGAGAUGGAACUUUCAUUCUUUCCUGAAAACCAGGGAGGCCAUUGGUCUGGCCUGUUCUUUAAUAAUUGUUAACAGUCUGAAAUGUGUUAAGCUUUGUACAAAACAGAUAUCAGUACCUCAGAUUGUCAGCACUAUUUGAAAGAUAUAAAUAAUAUUCAGAGAGAGUAGCUGACCUAAUCAGGAUUUAGGGAUUCAGCAUAAUUACGGUCCUGAAUUUUAGAGCAUGAAGGCCUUGCCUUUUCUGUUUGUUUGUUUGUUUGUUUUACUCAAUAGGCUAUUAUGGGCUCGGAGAAACGAGCCUUGGCCCUACAGUCUGACUCACCUAGGUUUGAGUCCAAGCUCUGCCGCUGUCUGCUACACAUUCCUGGGCAAGUUACCAUCUGCUAUGGAUUGAAUGUUUGUGUCUCCAUAAUAUUUGUAUGUUGAAGCCCAGUUCUUGGUGUGAUGGUGUUUGGAGGCGGGGCCUCUAAGAAAUAAUUAGGUCAUGAAGGUGGAGGCUUCAUGAUGAGAUUAACGCCCUUAUAAGAAGAGAGACAAGAGAGUUGAUUUCUCUGCCAUGUGAAAAUAUAGGAAGAAGGUGGCUGUUUGCAGAGCAGGAAGAGGGCCCUCAACACAACCUAACCACACUGGCACCCUAAUCUUGCACUUCCAGCCUCCAGAACGUAGAGAAAUAAAUAUUUGUUGUGUAA